GGUUAGAUAUUCAAGUAUGAUGUAAAAUUGCAAGUUUUAUGGUGAUUUAAUAUCUCUAGCCU
rnacentral:tRNA from 1 species